GGUCCUUGGGGCUGUGCGGCUCACAGGACAGCGCAGAGUAUGAGGCCAAAUCCCGUCCUGCAGUCCCAAGCCUCUCUACUACCAGGGCUGAGUGGCUUCGCUAGGUAGGGGGCGGGCCCCUUUAGCAGCAAACAACUUGACACUUCUGCCAAGCUCCCGCGAAGAAGAAGGGGAAGUUUGCGGUGCCUCCCCACCUCUCCCCAGGUACCUGGCGGAAACCAAACCGAGGGGUGCGGUGGCAAGGACAGGGUGCCUCGCAGGCUUGUGCAGGUAGGCCUCGGACCUGCGCUGCCUCGGAGUGUAAAGGAGGCCGGGGUGGGCAGCGUGGGCCUAUGAGGCCCGUGGGUGCCCGCAUCCCCCUGCAGCCGGCUCCGCAGUGGUCCGUUCUAGUUCCGUGUUCGGAGUGGGAUGCGCGCUCUCCGGUGCUUAUUGCGGCCGGACAGGCCGGGGUUACGGCGUGACCGCCAGAGCAGCCCUGGUGCUAUGGAGGUAGCUGGGGCUGGUCCUGCCACAGGGUUGUGGUGGCACUGCCUGAUGGUGUGAGCCCGGAUUCUAAUCCUUAUGGUUUUCCAUGGGAAUUGGUGAUAUGUACAGCUCUUGCUGGAUUUUUUCUGUUCCCUUUUUUGCGUGUGUGGAGAAGUUUUAGACUGGUUAGGAGUCAGCUUUAUGUGGAAAGAGAGAAAAAAGCUUGCUGUAAUGCUUUCUGGACUAACUGAAAAAAAAUGUAAACUAAUUGAAAAUUUUAGCCUUGUUCAAAAAGACUAUGAAGGCCAUGAAGUAGAGUCAUCUUUAAAGCAUGCCAGCUUUGAGAAGGAGGCAACAGAAGCACAAAGUUUGGAGGCAACCUGUGGAAAGCUGAACAGGUUCAAUGUGGAACUUGAGGAUAAAAUACUCUGUCUAGAAAAACAGUUAAAAGAAGAGAAAUAUAAACAUUCUGAACAAGGUGAAUGGAUGACAGAUAUUUCAAAAAGGAUACAGUCUCUAGAAGAUGAGUCAGAAUCCCUCAAAUCACAAGUAGCUGAAGCCAAAAUGAUCUUCAAGAUAUUUCAAAUGAAGAACGACUGAAGAUAGCAUAAAAGAUGCUUUGAAUGAAAAUUCUCAACUUCAGAAAAGCCAGAAGCAGCUUUUGCAAGAAGCUGAAGUGUGCAAAAAAUAAGUGAGUGAACUUAAUAAACAGAAAAUAACGUUUGAAGACUCCAAAGUACACGCAGAACAAGUUGUAAAUGAUAAAAUCACAUCAAGACUCUGACUGAACACUUGCUAAAGAUGAAAGAUUGGGCUGCUAUGCUUGGAGAAGACAUAACAGAUGAUGAUAACUUGGAGUUGGAAAUGAACAAGGAAUUGGAAAAUGGUGCUUACUUAGAUAAUCCUCCAAAAGGAGCUUUAAAGAAACUGAUUCAUGCUGCUAAGUUAAAGGCUUCUUUAAAAACCUUAGAAGGAGAAAGGAACCAAAUUAUAUUCAGUUAUCUGAAGUUGAUAAAACAAAUGAAGAGCUUAGAGAGCAUAUUAAAAAUCUUCAGACUGAACAAGCAUCUUUGCUAUCAGAAAACACACGUUUUGAAAGUGAGAAUCAGAAUCUUCAACAGAAAUUUAAAGUGAUGACUGAAUUAUAUCAAGAAAAUGAAAUGAAAUCCCACAGGAAAUUGAGAAUAGAGGAAAAUUACCAGUUAGAGAAAGAAGAGAAAUUUUCUAAAGUAGACAAAAAGAUCAGCCAUGCCACUGAAGAGCUGGAGACCUAUAGAAAGCGAGCCAAAGAUCUUGAAGAAGAAUUGGAGAGAACUAUCCAUUCUUAUCAAGGGCAGAUUGUUUCCCAUGAGAAAAAAGCACAUUGGUAAUUGGUUGGCAGCUCAGACUGCUGAAAGAAACCUCAAUGAUUUAAGGAAAGAAAAUGCUCACAAAAGACAAAAAUUAACUGAAACAGGGUUUAAAUUUGAACUUUUAGAAAAAGAUCUUUAUGCACUUGAUGUUCCAAAUAUACCAUUGGGCAGAGAGCAUUCCCCAUAUGGUCCUUCACCACUGGGUCAGGCUUCAUCUGAAAUGAGAGCUUUUCUCUCUCAUCCAACUCUGUUGGAGGGUCCAUUCAGACUCUCACCUUUGCUUCUAGGGGGAGGAGGAAGAGGCUCAAGAGGCCCAGGGAAUCCUCUGGACCAUAAGAUUACCAAUGAAAGAAGAGAAUCAAGCUUUGAUAUGUUAAUCGAUUCUCAUAAGGCUCCUUUGGACACUGGGUCCGUGUCACCUCCAAGGGAACAGGACCAUAGGAUGAUGUUUCCUCCACCAGGACAAUCAUAUCCUGAUUCAGCUCUUCCUCCACAAAGGCAAGCCAGAUUUUAUUCUAAUUCUGGUAGACUGUCUGGACCAAUAGAACUCAGAAGUUUUGAUAUGCCUUUGGAUAAAAUGGAUGGGUCAAUGCCUUCCAAAAUGGAAUCCAGUAGAAAUGAUACCAAACAUGAUCUUGGUAAUUUCAAUGUACCUGAUUCAUCUCUCCCAGCUGAAAAUGGAGCAACUGGCCCCCGCUUUGUUCCUCCACCUCUUGCUCCAUUCAGAGGUUCAUUGUUUCCAGUGGAUACAAGGGGCCCGUUCAUGAGAAGAGGACCUCCUUUCCCCCCACCUCUUCCAGGAACCAUGCUUGGAGCUUCUUGAGAUUAUUUUCCACCAAGAGAUUUCCCAGGUCCAUCACAUGCUCCAUUUGCAAUGAGAAAUGUCUAUCCACCGAGGGAUUUUCCUCCUUACCUUCCCCCAAGACCUGGAUUUUUUCCUCCCACCCCUACAUCCUGAAGAUAGAAGUGAGCUCCCUUCAGGGUUGAUUCCACCUUCAAAUGAGCCUGCUACUGAUCAUUCAGAACCACAGCAAGAAACCUGACAAUAUUUUUACCCUCUUCAAAAGUAAUUUUGACUGAUCUCAUUUGCAGUUUAAGUAACUGCUGUUACUUAAGUGAUUACACUUUUGCUCAAAUUGAAGUUUAAUGGAAUUAUAAUUCUCAGGAUAGUAUUUUGUAUAAAUAAAGAUGAUUUAAAUAUGAAUCUUAUGAGUAAAUUAUUUCCAUUUUAUUUUAUUAUAGAUAGUAUAACUAUUUUAAUUUGAUUAAUCCACUGUUAUAUAAACAAUAGUGGGAGUUUUAGAUACGUUAUCUUGCAGGUGGGGAGGCUUUAAAUUCUAAAGGCUAUGCCUGUGUCUUUAUGCCAAGAACUGUAUUAACUGUGAUUGUAGACAAAUGUGAAAGUAACUUUAUGCUUAAUUAAAUAAAUUUUAGUUGAUUUAAAGACUUGUUUGGUAUUGAUAAUGAUAAAAUCAGAUAGUUUUUCU